CCUACGGGAGGCAGCAGUAGGGAAUCUUUCACAAUGGGCGAAAGCCUGAUGGAGCAACGCCGCGUGCAGGAUGAAGGCCUUCGGGUUGUAAACUGCUUUUAUAAGCGAGAAAUAUGAUGGUAAUUUAUGAAUAAGGAUCGGCUAACUACGUGCCAGCAGCCGCGGUCAUACGUAGGAUCCGAGCAUUAUCCGGAGUGACUGGGUGUAAAGAGUUGCGUAGGUGGCAUAAUAAGUAGCUAGUGAAAUCUGGUGGCUCAACCAUUCAGACUAUUAGCUAAACUGUUAAGCUCGAGACCGUUAGGGGUAACUGGAAUUCCUAGUGUAGGAGUGAAAUCCGUAGAUAUUAGAAGGAACACCAAUAGCGUAGGCAGGUUGCUGGACCGCGACUGACGUUGAGGCUCGAAAGCGUGGGGAGCGAACAGGAUUAGAUACCCCAGUAGUC
rnacentral:rRNA from 1 species